rnacentral:rRNA from 1 species
UACAGAGGGGGCGAGCGUUGUUCGGAAUUACUGGGCGUAAAGGGCGCGUAGGCGGCCUUCUAAGUCGAACGUGAAAUCCCCGGGCUCAACCCGGGAACUGCGUCCGAUACUGGGAGGCUUGAAUCCGGGAGAGGGAUGUGGAAUUCCAGGUGUAGCGGUGAAAUGCGUAGAUAUCUGGAGGAACACCGGUGGCGAAGGCGGCAUCCUGGACCGGUAUUGACGCCGAGGCGCGAAGGCCAGGGGAGCAAACGGG